rnacentral:snRNA from 1 species
AAAGUCUCAUUUCUCUUCAAAAUGAAUAAAUCUUUUGCCUUUUCCUAAAGAUUUCCAUGGAGAGGAACAGUUAUGUGUUGGUAACCCAAUUUUUUGAGAUCUUGUUCAGGGAGGCU